rnacentral:sRNA from 1 species
AAUAGUCAAACAAAUUAGCAACGGGGCCACCAAGAGCGCCCAUUCAACCCUCCUAAAGCUGAUGUCCCGGUUUAUCGGUUCCUGUCAAUCAGUAAAGUAAGAAAGAUGAAACUUGCAAUUAUAUACAUGGAGCCAUAACUCCUCAUUCUUCCCAUCUUACCUAAAGCAGAAGAGUUUUAUUUUUUCUUUUCUCUU